rnacentral:rRNA from 1 species
AUGCGCUAUUCAGCCUUUUAUUUGGGGUCAGUUGCAGCCCUUUGCCGCGACCAGGAUGGACAUUAUUUGGGGUCAUCGGCGAUGGUAUACUAUGGGAUCACGGAUCCGUUAACUUUGAAGACAUAUGCAUGCCGUGAGGCGCUUGCUUUGGCGGAUGACCUGGGACAGCAGAAGAUUUGUGUGGCAUCGGACUGUCAAGAGGCGGUAAAUGACAUCAACAGGGAACAGGAGGCCCUAAUGCAGGGUUGGUACAUGAAAUAA